GGCCGGGUGACGCAGUUGGUUAGCGUGUGGAGCUAAUACGAAAAAUCGUCUACUCCAAAGUCCUGGGUUCAAGCCCCAGUCGGGCCA